rnacentral:sRNA from 12 species
CCAACUAGGCGUCCAUAUUCUGCCUCUGGCGUUUCCCUGUACGUUAGCGAUAAUCCGAAAGGUAGCGACGAUGUUGGACCAGGUCUGCCGGCGUUCCUUGGCCAGGAUGGCAGCCUGGU